rnacentral:rRNA from 1 species
GUCGAACGGAUUAUUCUUUAUAGCUUGCUGCGUGUAUGGUUAGUGGCAGACGGGUGAGUAAUGCAUAGGAAUCUGCCUAGUAGUAUAGGAUAGCCACUAGAAAUGGUGGGUAAUACUGUAUAAUCCCUGCGGGGGAAAGAUUUAUCGCUACUAGAUGAGCCUAUGUCAGAUUAGCUAGUUGGUGGGGUAAUGGCCCACCAAGGCUGUGAUCUGUAGCUGGUCUGAGAGGAUGAUCAGCCACACUGGAACUGAGACACGGUCCAGACUCCUACGGGAGGCAGCAGUGGGGAAUAUUGGACAAUGGGCGCAAGCCUGAUCCAGCUAUGCCGCGUGAGUGAGGAAGGCCUUAGGGUUGUAAAACUCUUUCAGUAGGGAAGAUAAUGACGGUACCUAUA